rnacentral:rRNA from 1 species
AGAGUUUGAUCCUGGCUCAGAUUGAACGCUGGCGGAAUGCUUUACACAUGCAAGUCGAGCGGCAGCGCGGGGCAACCUGGCGGCGAGCGGCGAACGGGUGAGUAAUGCAUCGGAACAUGUCCAUGUCGUGGGGGAUAGCCCGGCGAAAGCCGGAUUAAUACCGCAUAAGCCCGAGAGGGGAAAGCAGGGGACCGCAAGGCCUUGCGCGAUUGGGUUGGCCGAUGUCCGAUUAGCUUGUUGGUGAGGUAAAGGCUUACCAAGGCGAUGAUCGGUAGCUGGUCUGAGAGGAUGAUCAGCCACACUGGGACUGAGACACGGCCCAGACUCCUACGGGAGGCAGCAGUGGGGAAUUUUGGACAAUGGGGGCAACCCUGAUCCAGCCAUUCCGCGUGAGUGAAGAAGGCCUUCGGGUUGUAAAGCUCUUUUGUCCGGAGCGAAACGGUGGCGGUGAAUAUCCGCCACUACUGACGGUACCGG